rnacentral:rRNA from 1 species
CCUACGGGAGGCAGCAGUGAGGAAUAUUGGUCAAUGGGCGCGAGCCUGAACCAGCCAAGUAGCGUGAAGGAUGACUGCCCUCCGGGUUGUAAACUUCUUUUAUAAGGGAAUAAAGUGAGGCCCGUGUGCCUUUUAUUCUGUGCUUUAUGAAUAAGAAUCGGCUAACUCCGUGCCAGCAGCCCCGGUAAUACGGAGGAUCCGCGCGUUAUCCGGAUUUAUUGGGUUUAAAGGGAGCGUAGAUGGGUUGUUAAGUCAGUUGUGAAAGUUUGCGGCUCAACCGUAAAAUUGCAAUUGAUACUGGCAGCCUUGAGUGCAGUUGAGGUAGGCGGAAUUCGUGGUGUAGCGGUGAAAUGCUUAGAUAUCACGAAGAACUCCGAUGGCGAAGGCAGCUGACUGAACUGCAACUGACAGUGAGGCUCGAAAGUGUGGGUAUCAAACAGGAUUAGAUACCCGGGUAGUC